rnacentral:rRNA from 1 species
GAAUAUUAUUAAACCUAAAUUAUUAGUAGUUAUGUUCUUGAAAAUUAAUAAAGAUGGCGGUGUUUUAGUCUGUUCAGAGGAAUCUGCCCUGUAAUUGAUAUUCCACGAUUUAAGUUACUUGGGUUUUUAGCUUAUAUAUCGCUGUGGAUUAAAUAUUUCUGAUGAAUAAAAAUAUUUAUGAUUUUGAAUAAAAGGAUUUCAAGUCAAGAUGUAGUUUAUAUCCAAGAAGAGGUGGAUUACAAUAUUGUUAUAUUUGGUUAGUGAUUUGAAAUGUUUACUAUAAAUUGGAUUUGAAGGUAAUGUUUUACUAAAAUAUAAAAAAUGAUUUAAGCUCUAAAU